UGGGGAAUAUUGCACAAUGGGCGCAAGCCUGAUGCAGCCAUGCCGCGUGUGUGAAGAAGGCCUUCGGGUUGUAAAGCACUUUCAGCGGGGAGGAAGGCGAUAAGGUUAAUAACCUUGUCGAUUGACGUUACCCGCAGAAGAAGCACCGGCUAACUCCGUGCCAGCAGCCGCGGUAAUACGGAGGGUGCAAGCGUGAAUCGGAAUUACUGGGCGUAAAGCGAACGCAGGCGGUCUGUCAAGUCGGAUGUGAAAUCCCCGGGCUCAACCUGGGAACUGCAUUCGAAACUGGCAGGCUAGAGUCUUGUAGAGGGGGGUAGAAUUCCAGGUGUAGCGGUGAAAUGCGUAGAGAUCUGGAGGAAUACCGGUGGCGAAGGCGGCCCCCUGGACAAAGACUGACGCUCAGGUGCGAAAGCGUGGGGAGCAAACAGG
rnacentral:rRNA from 1 species